CAGUCGCCACGGUAAUACGGAGGGGGCUAGCGUUGUUCGGAAUUACUGGGCGUAAAGCGCACGUAGGCGGCUUUGUAAGUUAGAGGUGAAAGCCUGGAGCUCAACUCCAGAAUUGCCUUUAAGACUGCAUCGCUUGAACGUCGGAGAGGUGAGUGGAAUUCCGAGUGUAGAGGUGAAAUUCGUAGAUAUUCGGAAGAACACCAGUGGCGAAGGCGGCUCACUGGACGACUGUUGACGCUGAGGUGCGAAAGCGUGGGGAGCAAACAGGAUUAGAUACCCCCGUAGUCCCUGUCUCUUAUAC
rnacentral:rRNA from 1 species